UACGUAGGUGGCAAGCGUUGUCCGGAUUUACUGGGCGUAAAGGGAGCGUAGGUGGAUAUUUAAGUGGGAUGUGAAAUACUCGGGCUUAACCUGGGUGCUGCAUUUCAAACUGGAUAUCUAGAGUGCAGGAGAGGAAAGUAGAAUUCCUAGUGUAGCGGUGAAAUGCGUAGAGAUUAGGAAGAAUACCAGUGGCGAAGGCGACUUUCUGGACUGUAACUGACACUGAGGCUCGAAAGCGUGGGGAGCAAACAGG
rnacentral:rRNA from 1 species